rnacentral:rRNA from 1 species
AACGAACGCUGGCGGCGUGCCUAACACAUGCAAGUCGAACGUGAUUGGAAGCUUGCUUCCAUGAAAGUGGCGCACGGGUGAGUAACGCGUAGAUAAUCUACCUGGUGAUCCGGGAUAACAGUUCGAAAGGACUGCUAAUACCUGAUAAGCCCACGGAGUCCUUGGACUCUGCGGGAAAAGGGGGGGACCGUAAGGCCUUCCGUCAUCAGAUGAGUCUGCGUACCAUUAGCUAGUUGGUAGGGUAAAGGCCUACCAAGGCGACGAUGGUUAGCUGGUCUGAGAGGAGUAUCAGCCACACUGGAACUGAGACACGGUCCAGACUCCUACGGGAGGCAGCAGUGGGGAAUUUUGCGCAAUGGGCGAAAGCCUGACGCAGCAACGCCGCGUGAGUGAUGAAGGCCCUUGGGUCGUAAAGCUCUGACAGAGGGAAAGAAAUGUAGAGUGGCUAAUAUCCACAUUACUUGACGGUACCCUCAAAGGAAGCACCGGCUAACUCCGUGCCAGCCGCCGCCGUAA